AACGAUAACGAAAUUUUCAGUUAGUCGAGACACGGUUCGACAAACGAUAAGUUUCAUAUUACUUCCACGAGAUAGCGCUGCUUUCUAUGCGCUGUCACCACGGCAAGCUUUUUCCUUGCGAAAUAAUGGACAGUGAUAUUAUUCCGCUCGGAGGCUCGCGAAAUUUUGACAGAUUGCGAUAAAAGAAUACAUAAAAAACAAGUCUUGUACAUUUUUUGUAUUUUUUCAUCGCAAGCUGUCAAAACUUGUUUUUAUAGAAUUUGCUUUUGUGGUGUAAUAUUCGGAACUCCCAAACAAACCCGUAUUCAGUCGAUACAGCGUGUGAUUAUACAGCUGAAGAAGUCAGUACCGUGUUCAGUGCAUUGUAAUUUGUAAUAUCGAGCAGCAACCAUAGCGGACACACAUCAUCGAACACCAGCAACAGAAUACCAAGGUCACCAUGGUCAGAGAACGCAGUAAUAAUGGGGCAACAGUAAACAACAUCAAGAUGCUGGUAAAGGACUUUCUCUUUCGAACAAACAUUAUGGAAACCUGAGUGCUUACAUACACUCUGAUGGAAACGUCGUAUCCUCUACACGAACGUGUCCAAUCGCUGUGACUCGUUUGGAAAACAAACAAAAGAAGGCAUUGUUUUUUCCGCAAGGUCGCUCUGAGAAAAAUUUCAGCAAAUUGCAAGGAAUGAACCCCCGGAGGGGUACUGGUGUCGAUUCAGGACGUUUUCCCAUACAUUGUAGCUAUUGAAUUUUGAUACCCGGUCGAAACGAUGGCAAGCGCUGCCGAUAACUGGGUCAAAAAAGCGGAUGGUCAGUAAAUUUCUGUACACGGCGGCUGACAGUCCAGAGAAUGUAUAAAUGUCUAGUUUAUCGGCAAUCGAGCCAGCGAGAAUCGGCUGCACCUGCAGUUUUGAGUUCGAUAGCUGCGAAAAUUCUGACUUUAGCAAGCGAAAAUGGAGAAACAGCUAACCUGGCGGAUGCAAUUUCACUACUGAAAAUUAUUCGCAAAGGUCUGGUAGAAUCAAAGCUGGAUCUGGAGGUGAAGCGAAAGAAUGCUUCUUCCCCGCUAUACUCGGUUAACACUUUCGAAGCUUUGCACAAAAGCAGGAACUGCUUCAGGGAGUCUAUGCUAUGGGUUCCAACGCCCCUUCCUAGAUUCACGAUACGGCUUUACCUACUCUAUUGGCCGAUCUGCCACAGAACAUGAUCGCCAAGUCAAUCGGGAACAGGAAAAAUAGCUGCUUUAGUGCUGGCAAUGCUCAGUCGAUUCGAUCUGUUAAAAAACUAUCCGCAGGUAAUUUGCCUUUCCGCCACGCAUGAUGUGGCAACUCAGAAGGAGAAAGUAGCUGCCAAAUGACAAAGGAUUUUCAGGAAAUCAAACUUCGUUACACCGUUCGCGGUGAGAAUAUCGUCAAAGAGGUGAAGCAGACUAAUCAUAUCAUUAUCGAAACACCCGGUAAGCUGAUAGACUGGGGAAUAAAGUUUCAGGCGUUCGACCUUAAGAGAUUGCCGUUUUGUACUGGACGAAGCGGGCGUUAUGAUCGUUACCCAGGGCAACCAGGAUCAGUGCAUCCGGAUACAGAAGCAGCUGUCGUCGUCCUGCCUGAUGAUGUUCUUCUCGGCCACGUACGAGUGGGAGGUGAUGGAGUUCGCCGAGUACAUCGUAACCUAUCUGAUCGUCAUUCGGCUGGCGCGGAAACAAGAAUCACUCGAAUCGGACUCAAACAGUACUACGUCAAGUGCCGUCAAGAUCUACGGUGUGAUUACCGUCAGACAAGCGAUCAUUUUCUGUCAUAUGAUGUAUAGAACAGUUAUAAGCUCCAAGUAAACUUAUUUUCGGCAUCGUCAAUCGAUCGAAACAGGCACGCAAAACAGCCGGUUGGUCUGGCAAGAUGUCGCAGGAUUGUCAGUCGGUAACGGUGCUGUCCGGUGAUGUAACGGUGGAGGAACGGUUGGCCGUUCUGGAUCGAUUUCGUGCCGGACUAGAGAAGCUACUGAUUAUAACGAACGUUUUGUCCAGGGGUAUCGACGUCGAACAGGUGACUAUUGUUAAUUUCAACCUGCCGAAGGGAUGAGCCGGUUGCGAUACGUAUCUGCAUCGAAUUAGACGCACCGGUAGGUGUGACACAUUCUUGUGUUUUAUAAAUUGUAUUUUUCCCGCUUCUGUAACGGAAAGGAAUCACCAUCAACCUAGUGGACAGUGAUCGAAGCAAGAUGAUUUGCAGCUCAAUAGAAAAACACUUCCAGAAAAGAUUCCGCUACUAGACGUUGAGAAAUCGGACGAAAUUGAAAAGAUCGGAUCGCAACAGUGUUUUCGACCAGGUGAAAGGCGCAGGAGCUUUUUUGGGUCAUACUUGUUUCGAUUCUGAAUUUAAAUAUAGUAAUUUGAUUUAGCUGUACCAAGUUCUUGCCAAACAUUUGAAAUGAACCUAACUGCAAAAUGUAACAUAUUGAAUUUUCAUGUUUUCCAUUAACAAAUAUCUACCCGAACACGUACAUAACGCAACAUUUAAUUAUGAAGAAUUUUGAUAACGAUUUCCGGAUUUUUAUGACAAAACUGAUUAUUAAAGGGCCUAACUGAUUACAAAAGAACUUAAUUGAUUAUAAAAGUGUCUGAUUUCAAAAGCGCCAACUGAUUGAAAAGUUCUUAGCUAGAAAUACACUCAUUUUAAAAGGACUAACGAAUUAAUGUAUUAUAACCAGGUAUGCACAAGAACGGUGCUGCUCUGUGUCCUAUUCCUGUGCACUGGCUCUUAAUGUGUCACAGCUAAAUUAAUUUAGCUAGAGCUUGUGCUGGUUUUAGAUGAGCUAGAGCUAGCAAGUAGCACGAGCACCGAUUAGUGAGAGCACUCGCUAGCACGGUGAUAGCUAGCACGCUGCAUGGAGCUAUACACGCAGAAUUUUAUUUAUGCAUCAAUAGCAUACUUUUCUAUAGG